rnacentral:misc_RNA from 1 species
AAGUCGUAACAAGGUUUCCGUAGGUGAACCUGCGGAAGGAUCAUUAACACGUAUCCAACGUUAAAACCCCCCCCGUGAACUUUCAAUCCUGCUCUUGUAACCCGCGUAGUUCGCAAUCUCUGGUAAAUCAUAGCCCGGAAAGUUGUUUUGAUUCAGAGACCUCUGGCUACGUGAGAACAUUGGAACAGUUACAAUUCGAGCGGUAGUUUCAUAGGCAUUGUUUCCCCAAUGAUUGUGCAAGGAUAGCGCUUCACGAUUCCUGUAGACCGUACACUCGGGCAGGAGCUAUGCCAAAGGGUCCCCAUGCCCCCUUAUAACCCCACAGUUUAAUGUAAAGCUCAAUGUAAUACAUUGGGUAAAAAAACCGAACAACUGUUAACAAUGGAUAUCUUGGUUCUC